rfam:Triticum aestivum genome assembly, contig: Triticum_aestivum_CS42_TGACv1_scaffold_004683_1AL
AAAGUACUCCCUCCGUACGAAAAUUUUCUUAUCUUAGAUUUUUCUAGAUACGGAUGUAUCAAGUCAUAUUUUAGUAUUAGAUACAUCCGUAUCUAGACAAAUCUAAGACAAGAAAUUUGGGACAAAGGGAGUAGUUG